rnacentral:lncRNA from 10 species
GAGAACUGUUGCUCUGAAAAUAAUUUGGACCACUGUAAAAAAAGAUCUUUGGUACUGGGGGGCUAAAACAGUAUCAACUAUUACUGCCAAGUGACCACAUUAAGAUGGAACUGAAGGAAUGAAAAGGGACAAAGUCAAUGACAAUGAAGAAAAUCAGAAAAGACCAUCGACGACGAAUGAGAGACUUCCACAAAUUUAUGCAAGAGGAAAGGUGGGGAGAGACUUUCAUUUCUGGGAGUGCAGUAGAUUGAAUAUUCUGCAAGGUCCUGCUGCUAAAAACUGAAUCCUACAUAAAUUACAACCAACAUGACUUUAAAUGCCUUGCUGGGAUCAGAAGAAAGUGAGGGAAAUCUCCAAAAGCCAGAAGUCAAAAAAAAAAAGAAGGAAUGAAGGAGGAAAAGGAGGGAGAAAAGACAAAGAAAAAGAAAAAGUGAGCCAAACACAGAGGAGUAAGCAGUGAUCAGUAUGAAGAAAUUUCACCCUUCAUGUGGUAUAUGGUUCUAAAACCACCAAGAGAUGGAAUUGUGCAUAAUAAAAAGAACAGGACAUACAAGAAAGCUGGGAUUGGAGAAAACACUCCAAACCUGUAUAGUCUCAUAAAAAAUUUACUGAACUGUAAUAACAAAAGUAAAUAAACACAUACACAAAUGCUACUGCCAUUUUUUGUUUUCUAUAAAUAAAUAAUAUUGUAAUCAUAGACAAAACAUUUAAACGUGCUUGCUGUGGUCAAAUGCUGUGGAGAAGAGGUAGUAAGAAGGGACAACGUCAUUCUCAGGCUGAGAUGUGGUGACCCCCGAGGUGGAAGGUUGUGGCUCAUUGUCUGCAUUUCUUUCUUUUACUCUGGCUUGAAAUAGAACCCUACCUUUGUUGUCUUCCAGUUUCUUCCUUUCAUAAAGAAGCUGUAUGUGCAACUCCAAAGGCAUCCAGACACCAAGUGCCAUCCUGCUGCUCUGAGCACUGGAGUCUGCAGCUCCAAUCCUUGGCAAACCCUUCCCAGUCCCAAUUAGCACAGAUGAUAACUGGGACGUGAUCAUCUC